rnacentral:rRNA from 1 species
AUUGAACGCUGGCGGCAGGCCUAACACAUGCAAGUCGAACGAGUGGCGGACGGGUGAGUAAUGUCUGGGAAACUGCCCGAUGGAGGGGGAUAACUACUGGAAACGGUAGCUAAUACCGCAUACCAUCGGAUGUGCCCAGAUGGGAUUAGCUUGUAGGUGAGGUAACGGCUCACUUAGGCGACGAUCCCUAGCUGGUCUGGGAGGAUGACCAGGCAACCUGGGACUUGGACACGGUACAGAGUCCUACGAGAGGCAGAGGUGGGGAAUAUUUCACAAGUGGCGCAAGCCUGAUGCAGCCAUUCCGCGUGUAUGAAGAAGGCCUUCGGGUUGUAAAGUACUUUCAGCGGGGAGGCGUUACCCGCAGAAGAAGCACCGGCUAACUCCGUGCCAGCAGCCGCGGUAAUUC